GUGGGGAAUCUUAGACAAUGGGGGAAACCCUGAUCUAGCCAUGCCGCGUGAGCGAUGAAGGCCUUAGGGUUGUAAAGCUCUUUCAGCUGGGAAGAUAAUGACGGUACCAGCAGAAGAAGCCCCGGCUAACUCCGUGCCAGCAGCCGCGGUAAUACGGAGGGGGAUAGCGUUGUUCGGAAUAACUGGGCGUAAAGCGCACGUAGGCGGAUCAGAAAGUCAGAGGUGAAAUCCCAGGGCUCAAGCUUGGAACUGGCUCUGAAACUCCUGGUCUUGAGGUCGAGAGAGGUGAGUGGAAUUCCGAGUGUAGAGGUGAAAUUCGUAGAUAUUCGGAGGAACACCAGUGGCGAAGGCGGCUCACUGGCUAGAUACUGACGCUGAGGUGCGAAAGCGUGGGGAGCAAACAGGAUUAGAAACCCGAGUAGUCC
rnacentral:rRNA from 1 species